CCCAGACUGAGAAGAGAGGUCGGCAGAUGAUGCGUUCAAUGCCCAAGAGGGAAUCUCUGGUUCAGUUUAACACAGAUGCUGCAUCAGUGGACAUUCUGGACUCCUUCUGUGUUGUUAACACAUUCAGAGUGAAGUUCUCACAGUUGGAAAUGUGAGAGGAGGCCUCUGUCCACAGGAAGUACAGCGUGAAAGUGAUUGUUUACUAAACACGGAGCGUCGCAUAUGAAGCUUCCUGUGGUGGUGAAGUAAAAUAACACAUGGUUAUAGAAGCUAUGAAUGAUUCAGCUUAAAGCUGAAUGUCAUAUUGUCCGUUUCUCAUCCAUUCAUCCCCGUUGGACAGGAUUUUUGCAGGUUCUAGUCGAAUCCUGACAUCUGUAGAAAUAUCUGCGAAUGUUUUGUAAAUCUGAUUUAAACACGUUUAAUAAACAGCAUCUAAUUUCUU